rnacentral:rRNA from 1 species
AGAGUUUGAUCCUGGCUCAGGAUGAACGCCGGCGGUGUGCCUAAUACAUGCAAGUCGAACGCGUUGGCCCAACUGAUUGAACGUGCUUGCACGGACUUGACGUUGGUUUACCAGCGAGUGGCGGACGGGUGAGUAACACGUAGGUAACCUGCCCCAAAGCGGGGGAUAACAUUUGGAAACAGAUGCUAAUACCGCAUAACAAUUUGAAUCGCAUGAUUCAAAUUUAAAAGAUGGCUUCGGCUAUCACUUUGGGAUGGACCUGCGGCGCAUUAGCUUGUUGGUAGGGUAACGGCCUACCAAGGCUGUGAUGCGUAGCCGAGUUGAGAGACUGAUCGGCCACAAUGGAACUGAGACACGGUCCAUACUCCUACGGGAGGCAGCAGUAGGGAAUCUUCCACAAUGGGCGCAAGCCUGAUGGAGCAACACCGCGUGAGUGAAGAAGGGUUUCGGCUCGUAAAGCUCUGUUGUUAGAGAAGAACGUGCGUGAGAGCAACUGUUCACGCAGUGACGGUAUCUAACCAGAAAGUCACGGCUAACUACGUGCCAGCAGCCGCGGUAAUACGUAGGUGGCAAGCGUUAUCCGGAAUCAUUGGGCGUAAAGGGUGCGUAGGUGGCGUACUAAGUCUGUAGUAAAAGGCAAUGGCUCAACCAUUGUAAGCUAUGGAAACUGGUAUGCUGGAGUGCAGAAGAGGGCGAUGGAAUUCCAUGUGUAGCGGUAAAAUGCGUAGAUAUAUGGAGGAACACCAGUGGCGAAGGCGGUCGCCUGGUCUGUAACUGACACUGAGGCACGAAAGCGUGGGGAGCAAAUAGGAUUAGAUACCCUAGUAGUCCACGCCGUAAACGAUGAGAACUAAGUGUUGGAGGAAUUCAGUGCUGCAGUUAACGCAAUAAGUUCUCCGCCUGGGGAGUAUGCACGCAAGUGUGAAACUCAAAGGAAUUGACGGGGGCCCGCACAAGCGGUGGAGUAUGUGGUUUAAUUCGAAGCAACGCGAAGAACCUUACCAGGGCUUGACAUCCCGGCGACCGGUGUAGAGAUACACCUUCUUCUUCGGAAGCGCCGGUGACAGGUGGUGCAUGGUUGUCGUCAGCUCGUGUCGUGAGAUGUUGGGUUAAGUC